UUUUUUUUCUGUUUUGUAGGUAGCUGAAGGUGAUAACUCUUCCACUGUUGAGCAUCAGAGAAAUCCCAGGAGUUCCUAAAUUUGCCACAGGAUACCUGUUCUCUGGGAGCCCCGUGGGAUACUUGGCACAGCCUCAGCACCCGGAGGAGGGCAGUGGGACCCGGGCUGAGAGAGCUCACAGCAGCAGCUGGCUCAGCCCCGUUCAGCAGGAUUUUGGGGUCUGCCUGCAAAUCCGUCUCCUCGGGCUGCUGCACUGGAGUUUCAGAGUGGAGAAAACUUCCUAUCCUGAACACUUGUAAAGGAUUUGUUUUUUCUAAAGUUUCAGUAGGAGUGAUUAAUUGCUUUGUCACAGGCCGUAACAUGGACAUGUGCUCUUAAGUAGUCAUCUUUCUCACUCGUAUACAGUAACCAUCAGAAAACUUCUCUUUGUGUCCAAGACAAUUCACGGGGAGCUAACAAGCCUGCUCUCCCACUCGUAAACUUCAGUUUCAACAUCGCGUGUGAGACAUGUGAAAAGUGGCCCACAGCCUGUAUCUCCUGGCUUCUGUGUGCCAGGGCACGGGGAGGUUUGUGUCCAACUUGCAGUGUGUGUGGCAGGGAGUCAGUCACUUCCACUCGAAUGGAAACUGGUUUUGAAAAAUACUUGCCCGAGAGCAAAGCUGGAAGUAAUUAUAGCACAUGAGACCAAAGUUGGAACCGUUGCUGAUAGGCAAUGAAAAACAACUGUCCGUUGAAGGCAGUGCCCAUCCUUUUCUCUUUAUCACAGUGUCUGGUUUAGUCGGUUGGCAGUAAUCGCAGCAGUUAGCAUUUCUCAGCGUUGGAGCCUUUCAGGUUUCAUUCCUUCAGUGCCAUAACUACUGGACUUCCUGACCUGUGCUUUAAAGCCCCUCUUGAGGUGUUGCAAGGCGAUAGUUUAGGGAAGAAAUAUGUUCAUUACGCUCGCUUUUACUCCUUUUUUCUCUGCUUAUGGAAUCUACAGCAAUUGCACAAUAGCAACUGAUAAGGAGCCCUGUGAUCUUAAGUGGAGUUACAGUGACGUACACAAGCCUGUCGCAGUGGUGCCUAAGGGUUUGCAGUUACCUUCAGCAUAUUUACUGCAUCCAAAGCAGGCCGGAUGAAAAUGGAUUCUUGGGGUGGGUAUUCACCGGGCAUAUAUCCAUGCUGCCAUCUUUGCUUCUUUUUGGUAUUGCUCAAGACCAUUUGUCAGUGCAUCACAGUUCAACGUGCUAUUUUUCUUCCUUUGCCUUUUAUCUGAGCCAAUGCCUGCAAAAAGUUUUGCAUAAGGCUGUUAGCAAAAUUCCUACCCAUAGCCACCUACGCUCCUGCUGAAGCCUCUGGCUGAGCAAUCCUGCUGACUUCGGUAGGAAAGGCAGCAGCUACAGACUGCAGCUGAAUCCUGAGAGGUAACAAGUCUGCAGUCAGGCUGUGACUCCCAACAGAAGCAGUUAAUAAACUCGUCACCCAGGAAGGAUGUGUGUGCUUAGUGGGUGCAGGAUGCCCUGAACAGUGGGGCACGGGUCUCCUCUCCCAGCUCCCUUUGCAAACUGGUGUGGAACAGUGCAUCUGGCACAUUGUUAAGCACUUUGUGAUGCAAGGCUGGUCCUUUGCUCUCUAAAGCUGCUUUGUGUGAACAGACUGUAUGCUUUCCCCUGGCCCUUGCGUGUGGCUUGAAACAUGAGGAUGGUUCUGGUGGAGGUACACUUGAACACCUUGAGAUUAGCCAUUUGGAAGUCUGAUUUCUCCAUGCCUUUUAGAGCAGCAGUUCUUUCCAAGGAUUCAUUAGUAUGCUGCUGUGUCACCUCCCAAAUGCUUUUCAUCUUUGGGUAGCUGUGCCCGUUACUACAGGCUUGCCAAACAUCUCAGAUCUUUGCCAUUGUUACAGCUGAUCCAUAUUCCUAUGGAUGAUUUUGCAUUUCAGUGUUGUGAAAUUUCAGAAGGGACUCAACUUGCCUUAGUCUUGCCUUCUGCUCAUUAGUCGUUUCUGGAGACAUCCCUGCUGAAGCAUGCUGAACUCUGACAGGUAAUAGGGCUGCAAUCAGAGGAGGCAAAAAAGUGUUCUCUGCAAAAACUCUUCCUCCCCUUGUUCUCCUUUCUCCAAGAAAAAAUACAUGAGCUGGAGGAUGCUGAAUCCAAACAGCAGAAGGUGUUGGGUCCCGCUCACCUCCCCAGGAGAAUGGGGAGUGACAGGUUUAAACUCCCUAUUGCUCUCCUGGCUUGCUGGGAGAGUUGUGUACAGCCUUGUGUCAGAGGCGUGUGAAUCUACCCAAAUCCUGCAUGUCUGUUCAUGUGACAAGCAGUGUUCUUUAACCCUGGAUUGGUGUGAAAGCAAGCUGCCCGAAGAAAGAACUGGAGUCAGAGGAGAAGGAAGCAUUGCUCCACCAGAAGCUGGGAGGUCUCCACUCACUGCUCUUAUUUUUAUGCUUUCCAAAGAAUGGACAGGGAGAGCGUGAGACUCCAUUCAUAAAUAAAAUCCUUUAUGUAGUUUGCAAACUCAGGCAAUUACAUUUGUGCUCAACUAGUGUUAAGCCACUGAAGAUUCAGUGCAAGUGCAUUCAAAUUUCCCUCUCUCCAGUCUAAAACCAUUUAUCUCAAGUGAGACCGGGAGGUAGCCUCUUGUGAAAAUACCUGCUGGCGAACAAGUCAUCUGCUAAAGAAAAUAAGUGCUUCUUUUACAACAGUAUUUUAAAGAUUUCUGUAUGUGCUUUCUUGUGAGAAAGUGUUUUCUGCAAGGAUCUUGUGGUUCCUUUGGCGAGAGAUGACUUGACAAAUGUGCUGUCCCUGUAAACAGAACAGAUGUGUUUCAAAACUGAAGUCUUUUGAUCCGUGUAGAAGGGAUGGAUUUCC